CCUACAGUAUAUCUAAUUCAGGGAAAAAUUAUGACAAGCUUUAGUACUGACAUUUGAAAUAUAUUAUGCAAAUUCCCAUGGUUACUUCUUUACAAAAAAUGUGAUAUUUUAUGGCAGAAGGGGAUGAAUACAAAAGUAAACAAGCUCUCUGCAGAGCAUCUUUGAAAAAGCCAGUAUGAAAUAUAUUAUGGUCUUCAGCUAGUGGAAACUGGCACAGCUCCUUUGACUUCUGUAUCUUAUUGCUAGUCAUUGAGAGUGUGCAUGCUGCAACCUCUUUGAAAAGUCAAUUUGAUUAUAUGGUUAUAAUAAAUGACUGGCCGUUACUACUUUGUUUCAAUUUCCAGAGCAAAUGCCUACUUACUCCACGGAUGUAUUUGCAACAAUGUUUCUUCAGUUUAAAGGACUUCUCAGAAAAAUAGGGCUAGAACCCAAGCUCUGGAAAAUAAAAACUGUAUUACCAUGCUUGGGGAACAAUAGGUGCGAGGUUUCUUUAAUGUACUUGCAGCUUUCCUCUCUUGUGUUGGCCCUGAAAACUGGCCUUGUGGGACUAUGGUAGGUCAAGGAUUUAUCCAUAGUCCUCCAGGGUAGUGAGGAAAGUAAGAUCUGUGAGUUGCUACCACUUUGCUAUAUAAAUGAAUGUAAAUACAGAGGAAGAGGAAUUCAGGGUAAACACUAGGAGGUAGAUAUGGGGUGCAAAUGAAGGCAGGGAAGAUUUAGGCUGAGUACCAAGAAAACUUUCUUUUCUGUGAUGUCCAUAUUGUGAUAUAAUCUCCUGGGAGAAGUCUCCAAGUCCCUGUCACUUACAGAUAACGUACUGUAGGGAGAAAAGUCCUGCACUGGCAGAAGGAAAAGAGAGACUAGACACCUCUUCUGUAUCUAUUUUCUAAUAGUCCAGGGAUGUGCAUGCGUGCCAGUGUUAUUGAGAAUUCAGUAUACUCUGUUGGCUUCCUGCAGGGGGUCAGUGGUAUGUGGAGCUGGUCACAAACCUGUGUUUCACGUUUUGCUGAGCCCUGUCAGAUGUCCGCUCUGGAAAGAGACAUUGGAGCUCUACACUGUGGUCACUGACAACAAAGGGCUAUACAUUGUUCUGCCAUCUAGAGAUUUGGUCCCAUGGGAUAGAAGCUCUUGGAUGGUGAUCCAGUUGUCCAAGACUCUCCUGCUUCUCCUCUUCAUCAGCUUCUUCUGACUCAGCUCAAUAAUACUAAGAUCUCUUCUGCCCUCAGUCCCUGUUCUGUCAUCUUCCUUCAGCUGCUCCAUCCGGCUUUGCACCAUGAGCUCCUUUCUUUGUUUCUGCUGCUUGGACAAGAGCAAGUGUUGCCUCCUCUCAGCCUUGUUCCAGUACUUCCCAGUCUUCAGCUCGCUCAAGGCAUCGUCAUCUGUUGUCAUUCCACUGCGUUCCUCCAUGAUCCUCAGUGCCCUGUCCUUUAGCAGCUGACUUUUCUGCUGUUUGUUCAACAGUUGUCUGCUCCUUUUGCUUGUCAAGCUCCACCUGUUCCCCUCAUCUAGUUUGCCCUGGGUGCCUUUGCUGCAUUGAUGUGAGAGCAUUGAUGGACUAGGCUGGUCGCUUAAGCCCUCUACAGAGGCGUCUUCCUGCACUAGGUUCAUAUAGCUCACGUAACGGUGUGCAUGAUACGGAAUUGCAAGUGCUUUUGGCCCAGUAGCAAUGUUCUCAGGUGUAAGAGAAACUGGUUCUGGUUCCUCCUGCCCUUCUGUUGAUUUAUCCACAUUUGCUUGUUCUCUGACUCCAUUCAUUGCAUUCUGAGGACGAAGUCCAGCUUUGUGGUUUGUCCCUUUUUCUUUGCUCAUGGCGCUGUCUCCAACCAGUGGAGGGCAAUCUGCAUGAGGCUGGCCCAAAGGAUACGUAGCAAGCCAUUGGUCUUGCGGUGUGGAUUGCUCAGACCUCUCCUCCUUCUGAGCUUCUGAAGCAUGUGGUGUUCUUUGGUCUCUAUUAAGAGUCUUAAACAACCGAUAUUGGUGGCAUUUUCUUUCCAAGAUUUCUUGAAAUCUACUGUACUCUUCUGGGCUUACACCACAGAAACUGGAAUCACUUAACUCCUCGUAGGUUAAGAACUCCUCAGUAGCUAGCUCGCUACUUGCAAGUGUCACGCCCGCACGGUGAUCUGCCCUCUCCCUCUUCUGGACAUAGGGGAGUUCAGCAUCCAUAUCGGGUCCUGAAUUCUCAUCCAGCUGGGUGCUUCCAUCGGUACAGCCAACUCCACUGUCCCAGUCAUGGGGGAGCAGAAAUGUCUGCUCUCCUCCCUUUUCAUCCUCCUCAUCUUCCUCUUCUGUCUGAAAAUGAACACACACACAGUUUUUAGUUUUUCCUAAUACAGUUUUCCUACCCAGCUAUGCAGGAGUCCCUAAGCCAGCUAUCAAGAAAUGGAAACACAGCACUCAGUAAGCUACUGCAGAUGGAUUGCAAUGCAUUGCAGACUUCAUGGGCGAUGGAACGUUUCCCAUCUAAUGCAUUACAUCAAAGGCAGAUUAUAAUAACUGGCUGAAUAGGGAAAUGCAGGAUUAAUGGAGUCUUGUAGCAAAUUAUGUUUUAAUUUGCCUCCUCACUCACUUCCAUGUUAUCUUCCUUGCUUCUCACUGAGCAGAAUAUUGUUAAACUCUAGGGAGAUGCUCUGAGGCAUUUUUAUUGAGACUUGCUUUGGAAAUACAUUGCAAUGCAAACACAUUCAAAUCCCAGCGCUCUACACAGCUCUACCAGUGCCUUUCAGUCCUAACCACACCACCUUUCUAUUUCAGGCAUGGACCUCUACUGAGCAGAGGUUGACCAAACCAUAAACCACAGCACACUGGACAAAUAUGGGAUCAAAUGUCACUCCUGCCUCAACCCAGGGCUCAGCACAGUCCUUCAGAAGUUCAAGAGUUGCCCGCCCUCUUUGGUCCCCAUGUUUGCUGUAUAAAUACGUUUGGGCCUGUGCUUACCAAGCUCAAGCAGAUGCUGUAGUUAUCUUUAGGGGUGGUAUAACAGCUGCUGAAGCUCAGCUCCUUUUGACGAAUGAGGGCCAGUUCCUGAAAGAGAGAGAGACAAAAUGUUACAUGUACAGAGAACGUUAUGUCUAAUUUAGCAGCCCUGACUCGGGGUAAGGCUGAGGUGGCUGAAUAAGAUUUUCAGAGCCUGACUGCUCCAGCUCCCUUCCUCCCCAACCCAGGAGAGGAAUCUGAUUUGAUUCCAUUAUUAUUUAGUAUUUAUAUUAGCAUAGUGCCUAGGAGUCUCUCUAUGUAGAAAAGCAAAUAUGAAGAGGGAGAAAUGCUACCUUGUAGUCCAACUCUUCUUCGUUUUCCACGUCACAGGGUGCAGUUGGCAGGUAACCAUGUUCAUUGUCACCAUUCUGAUCUUGGAACAGCAAGUAAUUGUAGCAGGACCUGCGGGGAGUGUUAAAUAAAAGACAGACAGUGAUCCCCUAGGAGGAUGGGUGUGGCCUAUGAGUCUGAAAGCUUUCCUUUUAAAUGUCAUACACUCAGGCAGCAAUAGUGGCUUGCUCUUAUGGUGUGAUUGGUCAAAACUGAACGGGCAGGGCAAGAGCUAGAUUGGGCUAUACUCAAGUUACAGGACGUCACCCAUUAGAAAUCCACUCAGGUUGACAGGAACCAAAAAUGAGUGAGCAGCUUGCGUGGGAAGCUUGCAUUGUUGAUAGCCACGUGAUGCACACAUCUCUCCGGAAGUAGCACUUCAGUAAGAAUGGGCUUUGUGUAAAUCAACACAGCAUUUACUAAGCCUAAAAGGAUUCAGAUGGGCGAAAUAUUGGUCUUUCAGCUAUUGGUUAACUUGUGAAUAAUCAGUGCUGGGCCGUCCAUAUUCAUAGUGCUCACUGCAGGAUCUUUAAUCACAGGAUAGUGCAGUUGUGGACCCAGCGAACCUUGUGGCAAGGCUACUACAAUGGGAAGGCCAAGGAAAGCAUGAGCAGCUUUUCUAAAGCAUUCACCAACUUGCUGAGGCACGGGGAGUCUAAGAGUAAGAUUCAUAUGUCUAUUGCAAAGCUGUUCAGGGCAGGUCCAGAGGUGAGAGGUGGAUAAUUAUCCAAUCUUUGCUUCAUGGAAGACCCCCCCAAGCAAAGCCAUGCACAUACCUGCCAAGGAAGAGAUUAAAACCCAAUGGGGUGAAAUCCUCCCUGUGUGGGCACUGCUCAUCCCACCAGCUGUAGUCAGUCUGGGUUGCGGCAUCGGAUGUUUGGGGCGGUUUGCGGGAGGAUUUCUCUCUCUGCACCUCCAGCGUGAUUUGGUCGUCUGUGCUCUGGAGUAUUUCUAAUGCCUCCUGCAGGGCAGCACUGGAGAUGUCCUUCCCAUUGACCUGGUGGAGGUUUAUGAAAUGAAAUGUUAAA